UUAUCUUGGUUGGACCCCUUCCUCUUACCACGAGAUAACAUGACUCAGUAGAGGGAUUAGAACGAAAGGGGGAGGGAGAAGAAGCGCCGCAGAGGAGCCUCAUGAGAGCUUCCACAAUUCUGUGCUUUGUUGUAGUUGCUUCUCUGUUUGUUGCCGUUGCUUCUCUGCAACAAAAGAGAAGAUUACUUUUGGAGAGGCCACACACAAGGUUGCAUGAAGAAGCUGGGGCACCUAGGAAGGAGAAGCUGCCAUGGUGGUGGGAUACUGACUACAUGCGGUCAAAGCGGCGAAGACCUAUACAUAACUGAGAUUCAAUCUUUGAUUUUUGUUUGAGAGGAGUUUUUAUCCGUUUCUUUAGUAAUUUAUGUCCUCCCAUUAUGCAAAAUUGUCAUCACAGCAAUUUGGAUAUGAGAAGCAUGGAGUUCUUGAGUUCUUAUUU